CUCUUAGCCAACUGCUCCUGAAGCGAGUGAGGGUUUUGAGACAUCAAAUAGAGUGCUGGGGCGAUGGUGAUAUGAGGAGGAAGAUCUUCCAUCACAUACUAAUAAAGCCCUUGAAGCUGCAGCGCUGUAAACACAGGUGCUAGAAGCCAUGUUAACCAUUUCCAUUUCACUGACUUCCACCAGACUUACUGCACAAGGACGUUGCUUUCAAGAUCUCCUGGGAAGUUGUCUCAAUUGCUGCUGAUGAAUUGGAGGAUGGAUCAGCAUUGAAAACCAAGUCAUCUUUGUAGGUGUCCGCCAAAGCUUCAUCACAGGGCUGGCUGCAAUUUUCAAUACUUACUACGUCUUCAGCUUACAGUACCAAGAGGAAGCCUCAAGGACCCUGGAGUUUGUUUGAAGAAGCAUCUCAAAGCACAGCUUCAUUAAGGAAUGGGACAUUUCAUGCUUAUCUCUACACAUGGCUGGUGCAGCAAUGUUUGAGUGUCUAGUCAGUUUUCUCUGGAAGCUGCAGUCCAAUGUAACAGGAAGAGGAGAACUGUCAAUAACAUGAUCCAUGCACCCCGGAUUGAUGUCC
ensembl:lncRNA